rnacentral:lncRNA from 1 species
GGGGGGGGAGGGGGAGGAGGAGGAGGAGGUAUAAAGAAGUCUGGUGAUAACCUAACUCUACCUGGUUUACACAGAUGGAAAUUCAGUCUUCUCCAGAGCUGCUAACUCUGUGCCUUUCAGAAGGGUUCUGCGUUAUGUAAAAAAAUUAACUAGCUAAGUCUCUUAGCCGCAACAAAACCUAAAACACAAGAGAGAAGAUGAUGAAGCAGAGAUAUACCCUUCAAGGGCUGCAUCUGCUGUAUUUGGCUUGGAGUGGUCUGGUAAAUGUUCCCUGCAUUUUCCACUGAAUGUUAAUUUUCUGUAAUGCUGAAAAUACCCAUUUAUUACAUGUAGUAAAAGGAUAAGGCUUAGCAUGGGAUGAGUUUUUAAUUGUUUGGGUGGAUUAUUGGUAGCAAUGUUUUGUCUUUUUCUUUUGGAGGAGGAACCGCAGCGUUAUUAAAUAUCCAAAACUAAAACCUUCAUGACUGAUCUUUAUCUUGAAUUUUCAGAGCACAGACUGCAAUUAAAUAGGCAGUCACAGAUAAUCACUGAGAUGUAAUCUUCUGGACUGCCUUUGAUAUCAGUGUAUUCUUUUCCUUUUUCUCCUAUGAAAGGUUUUAUUAUCUUUGUGUCUCAUUACUACAAACUGAGUAAGUUCUGAUUUCUUUAAUUUAGUUUGGGUUUCUUUUUUACUUGCUUAUUAGAAGAUUGUGGACUCGGAUCCUUAUCUCAUCAGUCUUCUCUUCUGGAACGAAUUGUGGGAGGACAGAUCAAGUCCAGCUUGUUGCCUAGUCUUCCUGUUUACAAUGAAAACCCUCUACAAUGGUAGAAAGUGUAUAGCGCUUCAUUGUUUUAAAUUGGUGGGAAAUGACGUCUUAAAUUAUAGAUCUGUGUUUUCUAGACAACAGAGAAAAUUUUUUCACCUGACACCAUUAGCAACACAUCCUUCUGAGAUCAGAUCUUCAAGGAUUAGACCUGGAAGAGGCAUCCCUUACGAUAGCAGAGACCCAGAAUAUCUGUGCUCCCUGGCACACGAUGGGAACAUUGGGCCAGCCUCCAGGAAGGCAUCAAGAUCUGUCCCACGCUCGUUACUCCUGGCUUCAWCGUCGACCUUGUGCUAGCCACUUCUCCUUGACCUAAAAUUCACUAUUAUUUUAGCACACUAGUUCUCUACCCUGUAAGAUGAACUGGACUUCAGGGCUAAAGUAGGAGAUAUAUGUCCUCUGCGCCAGCUUUUUCAAUAUACGGGUAAUGAUACAGGUUGGAGCUUUAUUAUCUGUUCCAGGGAACCCCAUCUACAGCAGAGAUCCACUUUGCAUGUAAUAGGUUUCGUAAGAGCUCAAGAGGAUUUCUUUAUAUAGCUCAUGUUAACUUGCUUGUUGUGAAGCGCUGCUCUUCUGAGUAGCCCUGUUAAUUUUAAUGCUAACUCUCUGUCAUUAUCAACUAUCUGUAUGUUUAGCUGGAUCUUUAAAAACUUAACCCAUAAUCAAAAUAUUUAGCGUGUAAUGUUGGAAAGUUAAUGUUGCUAUAGAAACCUUUAUUAUUACUUUCAUAUAGUUACUUUUAAUUAAUUAUGACAGACUGAGAAAAAGGUGACAAAGAUCCUAUGGUGUGCUUCAAAUAGUGCUCUACACAGCACUUCAACAUAUAAUGUUAAUGAUAGGGUUAUUGGUAUUCACUAAAAGCAGCAGAUGACCUCACUUGACACUUCCACAUGUACUGUAAGCUACGUUCCCAAGAGCGCUCGAGGAAUGCAAAGCAAUGUGUAAUUUGACAAGCAUGUUCACAUCAUUAGUUCUGCCAAUGUAAAGAUUAAAGAGACAUAUCUCCUUCCAUUGUGUCCAAAAGG